UGUAAUUUUUUCAAAAUUGAAUAUGCGGAAAGGAGCUGUUUGGAAUGAAGAUUUAUAAGAAGAAGUAAUUCCAUCUAAUUGAAUUAGUGAUAAAAUUGUUUGUCGGCUUCCAGGUACCAAAGCAUUGACUGCACUAAAAUGCAGAGAAGAAUUAGCUUAAGUUUAUACAAAUAAAAACUAAAUUCUCUUCAGAUAAAUCAAUUACAGAUAAAUUAAUUAGUUAAUUGGUGGAACGUCUUCUAAAGAUAGAAUACACAAAAUUAUGCUGAGAUAAUCAAAAACAGUAUUGGACUCUUACCUCAUUUAUAAUCAGGGUGUCUGCAGCUCCUCUAAAAUCCUCUAAAGUCCUCUUUUUUU